rnacentral:rRNA from 1 species
UACGUAGGGCGCAAGCGUUGUCCGGAAUUAUUGGGCGUAAAGAGCUCGUAGGCGGCUUGUCACGUCGGGUGUGAAAGCCCGGGGCUUAACCCCGGGUCUGCAUUCGAUACGGGCUAGCUAGAGUGUGGUAGGGGAGAUCGGAAUUCCUGGUGUAGCGGUGAAAUGCGCAGAUAUCAGGAGGAACACCGGUGGCGAAGGCGGAUCUCUGGGCCGAAACUGACGCUGAGGAGCGAAAGCGUGGGGAGCAAACAGG